rnacentral:rRNA from 1 species
GACGAACGCUGGCGGCGUGCUUAACACAUGCAAGUCGAGCGGUAAGGCCCCUUCGGGGGUACACGAGCGGCGAACGGGUGAGUAACACGUGAGCAAUCUGCCCUUCACUUUGGGAUAACCACCGGAAACGGUGGCUAAUACCGGAUACGACCAGUCUCUGCAUGGGGUGCUGGUGGAAAGUUCUGGCGGUGGAGGAUGAGCUCGCGGCCUAUCAGCUUGUUGGUGGGGUAAUGGCCUACCAAGGCGACGAUCUGUAGCGGGUCUGAGAGGAUGAUCCGCCACACUGGAACUGAGACACGGUCCAGACUCCUACGGGUGGCAG